GAUGAACGCUGGCGGCGUGCCUAAUACAUGCAAGUCGAGCGAACAGACGAGGAGCUUGCUCCUCUGACGUUAGCGGCGGACGGGUGAGUAACACGUGGAUAACCUACCUAUAAGACUGGGAUAACUUCGGGAAACCGGAGCUAAUACCGGAUAAUAUAUUGAACCGCAUGGUUCAAUAGUGAAAGACGGUUUUGCUGUCACUUAUAGAUGGAUCCGCGCCGCAUUAGCUAGUUGGUAAGGUAACGGCUUACCAAGGCAACGAUGCGUAGCCGACCUGAGAGGGUGAUCGGCCACCCUGGAACUGAGACACGGUCCAGACUCCUACGGGAGGCCGCAGUAGGGAAUCUUCCGCAAUGGGCGAAAGCCUGACGGAGCAACGCCGCGUGAGUGAUGAAGGUCUUCGGAUCGUAAAACUCUGUUAUUAGGGAAGAACAAAUGUGUAAGUAACUAUGCACGUCUUGACGGUACCUAAUCAGAAAGCCUCGGCUAACUACGUG
rnacentral:rRNA from 1 species